CUGCAACUCGCCUGCACGAAGUCGGAAUCGCUAGUAAUCGCGGAUCAGCAAGCCGCGGUGAAUACGUUCCCGGGCCUUGUACACACCGCCCGUCACACCAUGAGAGUUAGGAAUACCCGAAGCCUGUGAGCCAACUUUCUAAGAGGCAGCAGUCGAAGGUAGAACUAAUGAUUGGGGUGAAGUCGUAACAAGGUAAC
rnacentral:rRNA from 1 species